rnacentral:rRNA from 1 species
AGUGAACGCUGGCGGUAGGCCUAACACAUGCAAGUCGAACGGCAGCACAGUAAGAGCUUGCUCUUACGGGUGGCGAGUGGCGGACGGGUGAGGAAUACAUCGGAAUCUACUUUUUCGUGGGGGAUAACGUAGGGAAACUUACGCUAAUACCGCAUACGACCUACGGGUGAAAGCAGGGGAUCUUCGGACCUUGCGCGAUUGAAUGAGCCGAUGUCGGAUUAGCUAGUUGGCGGGGUAAAGGCCCACCAAGGCGACGAUCCGUAGCUGGUCUGAGAGGAUGAUCAGCCACACUGGAACUGAGACACGGUCCAGACUCCUACGGGAGGCAGCAGUGGGGAAUAUUGGACUAUGGGCGCAAGCCUGAUCCAGCCAUACCGCGUGGGUGAAGAAGGCCUUCGGGUUGUAAAGCCCUUUUGUUGGGAAAGAAAAGCAGCAGGUUAAUACCCCGCUGUUCUGACGGUACCCAAAGAAUAAGCACCGGCUAACUUCGU